UGAUCCUGCUCUAUGCCCAGUACGGGUCAAUAGCCGCAGUAUCUCUGACUGUGCUAAGGUAGCGUAAUAAAUAGCCUGUUAAUUGCUGGCCUGUAUCAACGGACGCACGCUGGCGACACUGUCUCUGUGGUAUUCUUUUGAAUUUGACCUUUAGGUGCAGAUGCCUAAAUAUAACUGAGGGACGAUAAGACCCUUUCGAACUUUGGAGGUAGCAUUUAAUUCUAGGCAACGAAAGUUAAACUCUGCUCGAAGAGUAAGUGCCAAGUCCUUGGGUGGGAGGCCCGGUGUCCAAAUAAAGGAGACAGCCCCCUUAUUACGACAUGUGAAUGACUAAUAGUUUAGGCUUAAGUGUUCGGCGACAACUGUUAAUUUGGUUGUUAGGCUGCGUGGCUAUUGUGCUGAUAAACGGCCUUUAGUUCAUGUGGCUUAAGCCUGAUAAUUGGCAGGCCCUCUAAAAAGAAUAAGCUUUACAUUGCAUAGGUGCUUCUUUUUAAUCGACUCCCACUUCUUUUGCUUGCAAAGCGCAAAGAUGGCACUGGGGAAGAGUUACCGUAGGGAUAACAGCGUAAUCCCCCUGCGGAGACCAUAUUCAAUGGGGAGCUUGCGACCUCGAUGUUGGCUCUGGUUAUCCUAGGGGAAGAAGAAAAUCCUAAGGGUUGGUCUGUUCGACCAUUAAAAUCCACCGU
rnacentral:rRNA from 1 species